rnacentral:rRNA from 1 species
CAGUAGCCGCGGUAAUACGUAGGUGGCAAGCGUUGUCCGGAAUUAUUGGGCGUAAAGGGCUCGCAGGCGGUUUCUUAAGUCUGAUGUGAAAGCCCCCGGCUCAACCGGAGAGGGUCAUUGGAAACUGGGAAACUUGAGUGCAGAAGAGGAGAGUGGAAUUCCACGUGUAGCGGUGAAAUGCGUAGAGAUGUGGAGGAACACCAGUGGCGAAGGCGACUCUCUGGUCUGUAACUGACGCUGAGGGGCGAAAGCGUGGGGAGCGAACAGGAUUAGAUACCCGCGUAGUCCCUGUCUCUUAUAC